rnacentral:rRNA from 1 species
UACGGAGGGUGCAAACGUUGCUCGGAAUCAUUGGGCGUAAAGCGCACGUAGGCGGCUCGUUAAGUCGGAUGUGAAAGCCCCGGGCUCAACCCGGGAAGUGCAUUCGAAACUGGCGAGCUUGAAUAUGGAAGAGGGUCGCGGAAUUCCCGGUGUAGAGGUGAAAUUCGUAGAUAUUGGGAAGAACACCGGUGGCGAAGGCGGCGACCUGGUCCGGGACUGACGCUGAGGCGCGAAAGCGUGGGGAGCAAACAGGAUUAGAAACCCU